GCUGGCACCGCCCUAGGCUGGAGAAAGAGGAAACACGUUGGUCUGCGCACUCAGAGCCGAGUCAAAUGUGCAGGAAGAUUCCCCCAAACUGAAAGAAGUAAUGAAAAGAAAACAAAAAAAAUCCUUAAAAAUCGAGUGAAUCAGUUCGUAGAGAAUUGCAGAGUGGUACUCAGCAGAACAACAACUAUAUCGUAUAAGCUGCAUCAGAGACAAAUGAAGAUGAAAAAACUAUCCUCCUAUAUAACUAAUCUGUGCUGUGCCCCAACAAAGCCUGCUUUAAAUUUCCGUGCCAAUUACAACCCCCAUUCUGUAUCAGGCAAGGCCACUCACAUAAUACAUAUCCAAGUCAGAGAAUGCUGAUAUAAACCUUGCCCACCUCUCUCAGCCCGUCUUUCUUACUCAGACAAUUUCUGAGCAGCUCUUUGAUGAACACACAAUCUUCAGUUUCCAGGACAAACUGAGCCACAGCCUUCCCUCCUGGCAGAUGGCUCCUCACCAUCUGACUUUUGACACUGUCCAGGACAACUCCCCUGAUGUCUUUAGGCUUUCCUGGCAUACCAAAGAUGAUAAACAGACCCAGGCAAUCCUCUCCUAUUAAGUUACAGAAUUCUUCCAGCUUAUCAAAUCUACUUUUCUUCCAGGAAGACUCCUCUACCCUUGAUUCUGGAUUGGAAAGGUCACAAGGCUUAGAUUCCACAGGAGGAGGUGAAGACAUCUGCAGAGUCUGUACUGCGAGCUGAAGCUUUAUUUGCUUGUUGGAUCCCCAAAAGGUCCAAAUCCAGUCUGCACCAAACAGGAAGGCUUGGUGCUUGGUCAUCUUGGUGGUGGUCAGCCACUCAUCAACUCCCUUUUCUUGGCAGAAAGUGAUGAAAUGGAUUAAGAAGAUCUCAUUCAGAGUAUUUGCAGCUGGGCAGAGUUUACUUGGAGGAUAUUCAAAUCCAAGGUACUCCUUCAGUUUCUGAGCUGCAUGGACUAUAGCUUCACUGACCACCUCACAGACGACGGGCACCUCUUUGCUGUCCUUCAGAGCCAACUGUUGCGAUGCUUUCUGCCCCAUUUUCUCUGCAUCCAAAUAUCAAACAUGUGAAUCUGGUUCAGACGUACUUCUUUUUCAAAGUAAAAGUUCUGCAGGGAGGCCACAUCUGUUAAUGGUUCAUGUUUUUCUAACUCUACAGCUUCCUCGGGUGUAGUUAAGCAUAUAUACAUACAGCUAAAUAAACAUGUUAGUUCUCUCUGUUUGUCAGUUGGGUGUGUUGUGUUCAUACAGUUCCUGCUGGUUUAUUAAGUUAAAGAUACUAAAUUUCACACAAAACAUCUGUUCUAUCUAGGUUAUAUUCACUCUACUUUUAAUCUUUGGUAAUCUCUUCCAACAUGUUUCCUCUUUCCAAGUUUUAGUUGAAGUAAAAAUAGCACGUUAGUUCUUUUUGUUUUUGUUUUUUGAGACAGGGUCUCACUCUGCUACCCAGGCUGGAGUGCAGUGGCGCAAUCAUGGCUCACUGCAGCUUCAACCUCCCUGGGCUCAGGUGAUCUCACCUCAGCCUCUUGAGUAGCUGGGGCUACAAGUGUAUACCACCACACCUGGCUAAUUUUUGUGUAUUUUUUGUAGAGGUGGGGUUUCACCAUGUUGUCCUGGCUGGUCUCAAUCUCCUAGGCUCAAGCAAUCCUCCCGCCUCGGCCUCCCAAAGUGCUGGGAUUAUAGGCAUGAGCCACUGCACCCAGCCCUAUGUUAGUUUUUUAAAUAUCCAUACACCUCUUUCUACAACUAACUUCUUCCAAUCUCUAGGUGAGUCAUUUCCAUUUGCUUUUCCUAUUUUCUUUUUUUGUUUGUUUUUGUUUCUUUUACCUUCUGCCAUGAUUCUUCAUUCCCCAGCUCAGUUGCUUCUUUUCCUACAAAAGCUUCUCAAACAAAGGCCUCAAAUUCCUAUCUGUUGAUACACAUUAUAAACUCCAUUCGAACAAAUUUAUGGCAGUUUAUAAAGAGAUUGUGUUAUUUUCUAUGUCAGAAACAAAGCCUGUUACUAUGAACAACGGAAAAUGAAAUAAGGGCAAUAAAAAUGAGGCAAUUAUCAAUUGACUUUAUUUCCUUUCAUAUGGUAACACCAGCAGUGUAUGAUAUUUGUAAAUAAAAU
rnacentral:lncRNA from 1 species